GACGGGGGGGGCAAGCGUUGUCCGGAAUCAUUGGGCGUAAAGAGCUCGUAGGCGGCUCAGUAAGUCGGGUGUGAAACCCUCAGGCUCAACCUGGGGACGCCACCCGAUACUGCUGUGGCUAGAGUCCAGUAGGGGAGUGUGGAAUUCCCGGUGUAGCGGUGAAAUGCGCAGAUAUCGGGAGGAACACCAGCGGCGAAGGCGGCACUCUGGGCUGGUACUGACGCUGAGGAGCGAAAGCGUGGGUAGCAAACGGG
rnacentral:rRNA from 1 species